AUGCAAACAAGUCCAAGAAUCUGCUGCCCAUCUUCUUUUCCAAUUAGAUUCACCACCCGCGUCUGGACCGAGGUGGUCAACUGGCUUGGCAUUCAGGACCACUCACCGCUGACUUGGUGCCACGAAGACACGGUUCAAGAUUGGUGGCUGAAGACGAUCAACACGGGAGGGCAUAUCAAGAAAGCGAUUGGCUCUGUUCUGAUGCUUGUCAUGUGGGAAAUUUAGAAGGAGCGAAACGCGAGAGUUUUUCGUAACACGGCUUCACCGACCACUAUUAUCACUGCCAAGGUCAAAGAGGAGGCCCGACUUUGGGCGUUGGCGGGAGCCAAACACAUGAGUGCAAUUAUGUCGCGAGAGUAG
rnacentral:rRNA from 1 species